AACGCACGAGACCUGCGGACCUGCGGAAGGAUCAUUAUUGAAAUCCUUCCAAGGAUGUUGCUGGUCCUUAGGGACAUGUGCACUCCGCCUUUCUAUACACCUGUGAACUUAUUGUAGGUGCAGAUGUAACAAGUCUGUUACCUAUGUUUUUUAACACACCCUUUUAAAAUGUAUAAUGGAAUGUUGAUGGAUAAUAAUAACAAUACAACUUUCAACAACGGAUCUCUAGAUCGGAAGAGC
rnacentral:misc_RNA from 1 species